AACCUUUACAAUGCACGCAAGUGUGAUAAGGGAAUCCAGAGUGCUUAUCUUAUGGGUAAGCUUUUGCCAAGUGUAAAUAGCUUGGAGAAUAAGUGGUGGGCAAUACCGGUGCCAGCAGCCGCGGUAACACCGGAGCCACAAGUGGGAAUCGUGAUUAUUGGGCCUAAAGCGUCCGUAGCCGAUUUGAUAAGUCUCUUGUGAAAUUGUUGAGCUUAACUUAACAACGUGCAAGAGAUACUAUCAAGUUAGAGACCGGGAAGAGGCAAAGGUAUUCCUUGGGAAGCGGUAAAAUGUGAUAAUCCUUGGAGGACCACCGAUGGCGAAGGCAUUUGCCUAGAACGGGUCUGACGGUGAGGGACGAAGGCUGGGAGAACGAACAGG
rnacentral:rRNA from 1 species